rnacentral:rRNA from 1 species
AACGCGAAGAACCUUACCAGGCCCCUUGACAUCCUCUGACAACUCUAGAGAUAGAGCGUUCCCCUUCGGGGGACAGAGUGACAGGUGGUGCAUGGUUGUCGUCAGCUCGUGUCGUGAGAUGUUGGGUUAAGUCCCGCAACGAGCGCAACCCUUGAUCUUAGUUGCCAGCAUUUAGUUGGGCACUCUAAGGUGACUGCCGGUGACAAACCGGAGGAAGGUGGGGAUGACGUCAAAUCAUCAUGCCCCUUAUGACCUGGGCUACACACGUGCUACAAUGGAUGGUACAAAGGGCUGCAAGACCGCGAGGUCAAGCCAAUCCCAUAAAACCAUUCUCAGUUCGGAUUGUAGGCUGCAACUCGCCUACAUGAAGCUGGAAUCGCUAGUAAUCGCGGAUCAGCAUGCCGCGGUGAAUACGUUCCCGGGCCUUGUACACACCG